UUUAUGGAAAGCAAUGUCUACUCCCAACGCUUUAAAUGUCUUACGCAAAUCUAAUUGGCCAAUACUGUAAAUGGUUUGAAGGAAAAGGCAGUGAUGACAGGUGUGUCUUUGUUUCUUUUUUUUGCCUUCUCACUCUCUGCUGAGUCCUGACUGCUUUGUUACUCUGUGACAACAUUUUAGUGACUCAAAUAAAGCUAGUUCAAUCUCUUAUGUUGCACUACUGUGCGUAAAGAUUACCUUUGACCUUCUCCUUGAAUUAUGCCAUAGGUGAUUCCUUUUCUCUGAUGUCUGUUGCGUUGUUGCGUGGUUUGGAGGGGUAUUCCAUCAGUUUCAUUGUAUCAAUUCCUAUAUUCACACAUUCUCAUUGGAUUAUUUUCUGAAAGGACAUCAUGAACAAUUUGAGGACAAUCUCCAAUAGAUGGAGAAAGCACGCACAGAUGGUGUUUUGCUUGUGCACAGAUCUAUAGGUUGAUAGUGUAGCACAAUAUUUUCAUGGGCCUUUUCAACGCCAUUUAAAUGUCGAGCAGCACACUAACCAUUAUUUUGCCAGCUGAAGCUUGGUUUGAGUUAAGAGCAGGCCACAGCCAUUCUCACUGCAUUAUUGCCCCGUGACCUGGGCUGUACUGUUUUCUUGUGGAUCCACUUUGUGCAUUCAAAUCCUUUGCCCUGGAGUCUCAACCGCACAUGGAUCUCAACAAUCUUCUGUUUUGUGUAGAAGCCUGCUGUGUUCGUGAGGCUCACAUUGAAUUAUUGAUUUCUUCUACCGCCAAAAUACGUACACCAGUGUGCAGUGCCUGUUUAAAUGCACGCAGCCGGAUGUGGUUGAUGCAGUCUGUAUUCAGUACUCUGGAGUACCCAGUUUGCCGUGUGGCUAAUGUCUCGCUGGAGAUUGGUUAGAUGAUCCUCUGCUCUCCUUUGUGUGAACUGCCAGCAAGUGACCUGCUAUGCCUAUGAAGAAGAAGAGAGGGUGAUGAAGAUGCACGUCCUGUUUGCAUCUCCAUGCCCCCAUGCGUCUGUACAGUUCUGCUUCAAUGCUGCCCACAGAUGAUGGAUGAGGUGAUCUCAACGGUAACUGAUGGUGGUAGCUAGCUCGAAGCUGCAAAUGCAACCUGGGGAUUGCAACGAAAAGAAUGGGCGAUGGACCAGAGACAAAGACAGUGACAUUCGCGUGCAACGUACUCCUGCUACCUCGUUCAUCACUUCUCCCUCCAAAGACGAACUGACGGACCAUUACCCUUUGGAAAUCAGCUGGAGUAAAACCAGAAGGUUCAGAAUUUUACUUGGGCAAAUGUUUGUUUGGAGAGAAAUAUCACGGAGACUUCGUACACGAAAACAAAAUUCGCCUUGUAAGGGACGGCACUACUACAGUCGACGACAAACCCGUCGUGGCACCAUCUCCGAUCGGCCAUUUCUGAAUUCAAAAAACACACGCACACAUCCAUGCGGAGCACUCCCUAUAGAACUCCGAGUAAAACAGUUGAUAGUAGUAUCAUCAGUCACAACUCAGCCGGAAUAACAGCAAGCCUGAAUUCAAAAAAAA